rnacentral:rRNA from 1 species
UACGUAGGCAGCAAGCGUUGUUCGGAGUUACUGGGCGUAAAGGGUGUGUAGGCGGUUGCUUAAGUUUGGUGUGAAAUCUCCCGGCUCAACUGGGAGGGUGCGCCGAAUACUGAGUGACUCGAGUGCGGGAGAGGAAAGUGGAAUUCCUGGUGUAGCGGUGAAAUGCGUAGAUAUCAGGAGGAACACCGGUGGUGUAGACGGCUUCUGGACCGUAACUGACGCUGAAACACGAAAGCGUGGGUAGCAAACAGG